rnacentral:rRNA from 1 species
UAGUCCACGCCGUAAACGAUGGUCACUAGUUGUUGGGGCUUUAUGCCUCAGUGAUUAAGAGAAAUUGAUAAGUGACCCACCUGGGGAGUACGAUCGCAAGAUUGAAACUCAAAGGAAUUGACGGGGGCCCGCACAAGCGGUGGAGCAUGUGGUUUAAUUCGAUGAUACGCGAGGAACCUUACCAGGGCUUAAAUGUAAGUUGCAUGAUUUAGAGAUAGAUCUUUCUUCGGACUACUUACAAGGUGCUGCAUGGUUGUCGUCAGCUCGUGCCGUGAGGUGUCAGGUUAAGUCCUAUAACGAGCGCAACCCCUACCGUUAGUUGCCAGCAUGUUAUGAUGGGGACUCUAGCGGGACUGCCGGUGCAAACCGAGAGGAAGGUGGGGAUGACGUCAAAUCAUCACGGCCCUUACGUCCUGGGCUACACACGUGCUACAAUGGUCAGUACAGAGGGCCGCUAACUCGCGAGAGUACGCAAAUCCCAGAAAGCCGGUCGUAGUCCGGAUCGGAGU